rnacentral:rRNA from 1 species
CAAUAGCGUAUAUUAACGUUGUUGCAGUUAAAAAGCUCGUAGUUGGAUUUCUGGAGAGAGCGUCGGCCCGUAUUUACGAGUGCGUGACGUCUCUGUCCAUCCUUGCGGGAAGGCACGGCAUUGAUUUGUUGUGUCGGAUCGCAUCAUUUACUGUGAAAAAAUUAGAGUGUUCAAAGCAGGCUUUCGCUUGAAUACAUUAGCAUGGAAUAAUAAGAUAGGACUUUGGUGCUAUUUUGUUGGUUGAGCCUAAAGUAAUGAUUAAUAGGGAUAGUUGGGGGCACCUGUAUUGCGUUGUCAGAGGUGAAAUUCUUGGAUUUACGCAAGACAAACAGCUGCGAAAGCGUCUGCCAAGGAUGUUUUCAUUAA